GGGGCGGUAGCUCAGUUUGGGAGAGCGCAACGUUCGCAAUGUUGAGGUCGAGGGUUCGAUCCCCUUUCGCUCCA
rnacentral:tRNA from 1 species